GUGGAUUAGAUACCCUGGUAGUCCACGCCGUAAACGAUGGAUGCUAGUUGUUGUGGGUAUUGACCCCCGCAGUGACGCAGUUAACGCAUUAAGCAUCCCGCCUGGGGAGUACGGCCGCAAGGCUAAAACUCAAAGGAAUUGACGGGGGCCCGCACAAGCGGUGGAGCAUGUGGUUCAAUUCGACGCAACGCGAAGAACCUUACCUGGGUUAAAUCCAGCGGAACACUGCAGAGAUGUGGUGGUGCCCUUCGGGGAGCCGCUGAGAAGGUGCUGCACGGUCGUCGCCAGCU
rnacentral:rRNA from 1 species